rnacentral:rRNA from 1 species
GACGUAGGGCGCGAGCGUUGUCCGGAUUUAUUGGGCGUAAAGAGCCCGUAGGCGGCUUGUUGCGUCGGCUGUGAAAACCCAUGGCUUAACCGUGGGCCUGCAGCCGAUACGGGCAGGCUAGAGUUCGGUAGGGGAGACUGGAAUUCCUGGUGUAGCGGUGAAAUGCGCAGAUAUCGGGAGGAACACCAGUGGCGAAGGCGACUUCCUGGCCUGUUCUUGACGCUGAGGCGCGAAAGCUAGGGGAGCAAACGGGG